rnacentral:lncRNA from 1 species
GGAAAGGAGAAAAGAUCAUGCAAGGCCUUGCAGGCUAAAGUAAGAACUUUGGCUUUUCUUCUGAGUGAUGUGUGGAGCUUUUUGGAGGAUUUUGAGCACAGGAGCAGAUACGAUCUGUCAUAAUGUUUUAACAGCAUCAACUUGGCUGCCAUGUUGAGAACAGACUAAAGGGGACUUGAGCAAAAAGAAACAGACAGACCAUCUUGGUGGCUAUUGCAUCAAGCCAGGAAGUGGCCCACAAAGGCAAACGUGCCUAGAGCUCACCAACAUCACAAUGAAGCCCUAUGAACUUCGACCAACAACAAAAUCCACCAAAUGUUUCUCUCUCAAACAAGAAGAAAAAUGAGAAAUUUGAGAAUACUACUCCUUAAUAUAUUAUCUACUCAGCUCUGCCCUGCACGUGUGACCUAGGCCUGGCCUAUCAGCUGUGCAGACACCAGACUUUGAAUCAGAAGCCAAGGGGAUAAAGAAGCCAUGCUGAGACAGAGGCAUUUCUUUCUGGCAGUAAUAGCCAGUGGGAUGCAAUGUUAUGAGUCCCGUAGGCAAGAGCUCAAUGUUGGCUACACAGACUCUUGGGUGUAGUACAGAGCAUGACUGUAUUGUUGUCCUGAUACUAGUGAUGCAGGGUGGUGAUGCUUCAGUUUCGGCCCAUGCAGCCUUCCUUUCUUUUCACUUCUUUCUGAGCCUAUUUUCAAAUCCUGCCAGUGAUCCUAAGACUUACUUAAUGAUCUUUCAAUACAUUCAUUUUUUCUUAAAUCAGCCAGGGUUGGCUUCUGGCGCUUGCAAAUAUAAAUUUGACUGAAAUGGAGCUUUUGAACAAACUAUAAUACUUACUGCCAAUUACUGAAUAUUCCGAACAUAAGCUUACCCGGCGGCCCAGCAACUUCACUCCUAGGUAUAAACCCAAG